rnacentral:rRNA from 1 species
AAGCGCUUGCAGCCAGACUUGUUUGUAGUUGCUUAUCUAGACUGCUGUCUAGUGCACUCUUCUGCAGGCAGGCCAGCAUCAGUUUGGGCGGUUGGAUAAAGGUCUCUGUCACGUACCUGCCUUCGGGCAGGCCUUAUAGGGGAGGCGUCAUGCAACCAGCCUGAACUGAGGUCUGCGCAUCUGCUAGGAUGCUGGCGUAAUGGCUGUAAGCGG